rnacentral:lncRNA from 1 species
AAAAAACGAAAAAAAAAACCGAAAAAAAUUAAUUAAUUAAAUAAAUAAAUAAAAGAAAAGAAAAAAAUCUCAAACUUAGACCUCUCUCAAAAGCCCACUAAGCUACCAAUAUUAGCCUAUAAAUACUAGAGUUUCAUUGAAACAAAACAGACAGAAGAAGGAAGAGAAGCAAAAUACUCUGAGGUUUCCUUGGACAAAACCCUGGACAAAACCUGGAGAGAAACCUGAC